rnacentral:lncRNA from 1 species
CGGAAAUGGUGCCGGCAGGGAGGCUUGGAGGAGCGUUGGCUUUACGAGGCCGCCAACCUGUGAUGCCAGUUUCAGGAGCUUCUUUGAGACCACCAGCUGCUGGAGGAAGCCUCCAGCCAGCCCAGUGACAGCUACAGCCGGCAGAGCCGACACCGGGAACGCCGCGAGCUGCACCGGCUGUGGCGUUCCCACGCGGAGACGGAAGGUUGGAAGCGCAAGGUGCUGCGGCUGCAGGACGGAACAGAUGCACCUCUUCCGGCGAGGAGGAGGACGACGGUGGCACCCGUGGGAAAGGGAGAGCGCACCAUCGAUAUCCAGGUGACCCUUGCAUCCGUCUUCUCUCCCGAGAGGCAGGCUAGGGCCAUGCAGGCCCCUGACACCCUCUCUAUCUCUGCAGGAUGUCAAGUUUAAGCUCCGCCCCAACGUGGACGAGCUCCAGGCUGUAUCCAGCUCAGUUCUCUCCUCCUCGCAGCUCGCCCUCCUCAAGCUGGUGCUGUGCAGGGGGCUUUACCCCCAGCUGGCCGUGCCUGACCAGCUCAACAGCGGCCGCAAGGACUCUGAUCAGAUUUUUCACACCAAGAACAAGCAGGGUGUCGUGCUUCAUCCCACCUGCGUCUUUGCUACCAGCCCGGAGUUGCUCCACGCCAAGGAGGGACUGGAGUGCGGUGGGAUCAAAGGUGGGACAACCCCAAUCGCAGAGGAAUUGGCUCCCCUUCUC